rnacentral:rRNA from 1 species
CCCUUAGAUGUUCGGGGCCGCAAGCGCGCUACACUGAAGGAAUCAGCACGUCUUUCUCCUUGUCCGAAAGGACUGGGUAACCCGCUGAACCUCCUUCGUGCUAGGGAUUGGGGCUUGUAAUUCUUCCCCAUGAACGAGGAAUUCCCAGUAAGCGCGAGUCAUAAGCUCGCGUUGAUUACGUCCCUGCCCUUUGUACACACCGCCCGUCGCUACUACCGAUUGGAUGGUUUAGUGAGAUCCUCGGAUUGGUCCCGGCGCGGCCUCUGGUCGUGCCGGAGUGCCGAAAAGAAUGUCGAACUUGAUCAUCUAGAGGAAGUAAAAGUCGUAACA